GGAGCUGGAGGCACGGCUAUCAGUCACAGAUUCUAACUUAAAGCAAGCGAAGCAAGAGUCCUUUGAGAAGAGCAAAAAAAUCGUUUCAUUGGAGAGCGAAGUAGAUUCUCUCCAGAAGCGGGCAUCUGGCGAUUUGGAGAAGAAAAUUCAGAGUCUGGAGGCAAAGGCGGAAGAAU